rnacentral:sRNA from 1 species
UGAAGUAGGUUUAUCCGUUACAGAUGUAUC